rnacentral:miRNA from 1 species
UGGUGGAGAUGCCGGGGA